rnacentral:rRNA from 1 species
UCGAACGGAGAAAGAGAGGUUCGCCUUUCUUUCUUAGUGGCGCACGGGUGAGUAAUGUAUAGCUAACCUGCCCCUUGGUGGGGGACAACAGAUGGAAACGUCUGCUAAUACCCCAUACUCCUUCUUACUCUAAGGUAAGUCGGGAAAACUCCGGUGCCAAGGGAUGGGGCUGUAUCCUAUCAGCUUGUUGGUGAGGUAAUGGCUCACCAAGGCAAUGACGGGUAGCUGGUCUGAGAGGAUGAUCAGCCACACUGGAACUGAGACACGGUCCAGACUCCUACGGGAGGCAGCAGUGGGGAAUAUUGCACAAUGGGGGAAACCCUGAUGCAGCAACGCCGCGUGGAGGAUGACGCAUUUCGGUGUGUAAACUCCUUUUAUAGGGGAAGAUAAUGACGGUACCCUAUGAAUAAGCACCGGCUAACUCCGUGCCA